rnacentral:lncRNA from 1 species
AAAUAAACUGGCAUUCUAGUCAAGUUAGAUGAGAGGUUAAAAAAGAAAUCUAACUUGAAUGGUCCCAGGAAACCGUAUUUACAGUAAUCUCAAAUGAAGAGAAUUUGAUUGCAUUAAAGUACAUGUUGUCACAAAUCCGAUUUUUGGAGUAGAUUUUAAGACUUUGUAAGACAUGGCAUGAAGGUAGUUUGGCAGUCAGGAGAAUAAAUGAGAUUUAAAAAAUCUCUCUAAUGGUUAUAAGACCUUUAGGAAAUAUGAAAUCUAGGAUUUCAGAGAACUAAUUGGAGAUAGGGUUAUAAAGGUGAGAGUCCAGGAAAGUACCUGGGUGAGUAUUAAUGUUCUAGCCAGUCUUGGAAAUCACUUCCCUGGAAAAUGGUCCAGACCUGACCUGUAAUUAGGUGAUUUUCAAGCCGUCUUUUCUCAGCCGCUCCAUAACUUAAGGCCUGGAUCACAUUCACCACUUGGUUGAAUAGGCCCAUUUUCUCCCGCCUCCACCAUCGUUGGUCUUACUAAGAAUACGUGAUUCAUAGAUCCAGUUAAUAAAAUGAAUUCUAAUGGUGAUGGUCCUGGCUUUUGAAAUUUAACAGAUAACUUUUCAUCUUUGGUGCAGAACUGCAAUAGAAGUGUUUUCAUGUGAACGCUAAAUGCGUUAAGUCUAGAAAUAUAUUUCCUGUUGUUUAUUCGUUCACUUAGCAAACAUUUGUUGAGUCACUGCUAUGAGCCAGUCACUAAACUAAUUGCUGGGAAGGGAGCAAUAUGGCCUGUAAUCUCACUUCCUUGAGAUAGUGAUUCAAAUGUCACCUGUUAGAGGACUUCCCUGACCGUUUCAUAAACAUAGUCUAACAGCCCUGCCCCCAGCUCUCCCUGCCCUGCUCACUCUGCUUAUUAUUCUCUGUGACACUUUUCACCAUCCUCCACACUACUUACUUCUUUUGAACAUUUUCCCGCCUCAUUUGGAUAGGACCUUUAUUUUUAUUAUUUUUAUUUUUAUUUAUUUUUUAUUUAUUUAUUUUUUUGUCUUAUUGGGGCCGUACCCGCCACAUAUGGAGGUUCCCAGGCUAGGGGUCUAAUUGGAGCUGUAGCCUCUGGCCUACGCCACAACCACAGCAACGCUGGAUCCUUAACCCACUGAGCAAAGCCGGGGAUCGAACCCACAAUCUCAUGGUUCCUAGUGGAUUCGUUUCCACUGUGCCACAGUGGGAACUCCAGGACCUUUAUUUUUUAUAACAGUUCCUGGCGUCUGUACAUUCAUUGAAUGUGUACACAGGGUGGUAGAAGAUGAAGGUGCAAAAUAAUUGCAAGAAGUGCAGCAGCAGAGGUUUGUACAGUCAUGGCUGGGUCACAGCUCAGCCAGUCACCUUACCACGGGGAGGGUUUCUCAGAUGGGUUGUGCUUUGUGCCGAAUGGGAUUUCAUCAGGAUGAAGGAAAAACUGCAUUCCAGAACAGAUUUCAGAGGUACUUAGAAGUUCCAUUUGCCCAGAUUUGGUGGUAGGACUUGGGAGUGGAUUUAUGUCCCCAGUUAAAGAUGACUCAUGGAGGACUGGACUUAGCUUUUCUGGCACGAGUGAGUGGAGAGACGGAGGUGAGCAGAUAGAUGCUGGAAGGGAAGCACAUCCACCUCCUUCCCCUGGGACGUGACUUCCGUUUGGGAUGAGUUACAUUUCUGAUGCCAAUAGACUGUUCCUCAUUACACGUCUGGGUGUGGAGCUCGUAAAGAGAGGUGGGAUUGAAUCCAGACUUGGGGGGAGUCAUCAUCAUAUAUGAUGAUGGGCCUUAUCAUCAAGCCCCGUGCACAAAUAAAGCACCAUCCGCAGACAGCAGGAAGACGAACAGCCUCAAGGUAGAGCCCCAAGGAAGGCCACAUCUAAGAGCUGGUCAGAGAAUGAAGAAUCAGAAGGGAAAUCUGAGAACAGGGUUUUGGAGGGUAGGAAGAUAACACGGGGAGCUGAUGGCUAGCUAAUGAAGAGGUGAUCAUUUUAGGGGAGGGUGGAUGACUUGUCAUUUGUCCGAGAGAAUUCGUUAGGAUGGGCACUAAAGGAUACUGUUGAACUUGACCUGAGAAGUAACAAAUUGUAAAGUUAUGGAGAACAGUUCCAGUGCUGUGGGCAGAGGGGAUCCAGAAACCAAAUGUCAGGGGCUGUGACAUAAAUUAGAGCUGAGAAUGGAUGGGACACACACACACACACACACACACACACCCUCCUGUCCCGGGGGUGGGUGCUCAUCAGUGUCUGAGAAACCCUGAAUUAAAAGAAAUGAGGGCACCUGAGUGUAGACUAUUCUUCAAGAAGUUUGAGAAUGAGGGGAUGGAGAAUGAGAGAGAGGAUAGCCGUGUGGCAGGGAAGGGUGACAUUUUACUCUGAAGUUUGAGAAGCUUUUGCGUGUUGUCAGAUCUGGAGAGGAGAAGAGAGUUUGGCUGAAGUUUUACACUUGGAAAGAGACCGUUGGGGAGCAAAGUCCCAAAGAACGCUGGUGGCAGGUCGUCACCUGAGAAAGAGCAAAGGGAAGUAAGGGUAGGCGGAGGUUUUUUAAAAAAUGAGAACACAGCAGUUGGGAUGGCGUCAAGUAAGCAAUAAGGUUAUCCAAUCAUGUGAAGAAAUCAAGAUGGCAGAGCAAGGCUAAGAAGGUGAUUAGAAGCUUGAGACAGCAGCCUUGAGGGGAUGGAAUUAAAAUACUCUAGUGAGUCGUGUCAAGCCCUGAGCUGAACUGGGAAUCUAAUGCAGCGGGUUACGCAGUUUUACUCAGCUGAAAUCUCAGGCCAAGAAGCAAGAGAGAUGAAGGGUCUGGUUGGAAUUCUCCAUAGUGGGACAUUGGCAGAUGGAAUGCAUUGGAAGGUCAGAGGGGAAAGGAAGUUGAGGUUGUGGUGAAUUUGGCUGCACUAUUGCCAGAGUGAUUUCUGAGGGAGGCUGAUGGUCUCGAAGGCCAGAGAGGACUUAAGGGCCUGAGAAGGAUGAGGGGCAGGUUUAAUUGUGGGGUUGGCCAAUGGUAAGGUCAGAGGUGAAAAGAUAACUCGUGGGUAUAGCACUGCAACAAAUGCUUCUGGGUUUGCAGAGAGCCCAGAAAUCUAGCACAACUGGAAGAGCAGGGCUGCGAAUCCACACGUGGUACAUACUUUGUGAAAUUCCUGAAACUUCAGAGAGAAAAAAAAAAAA